rnacentral:rRNA from 1 species
UGAGGAAUAUUGGUCAAUGGGCGGGAGCCUGAACCAGCCAAGCCGCGUGACGGAAGAAGGCGCUAAGCGUCGUAAACGUCUUUUGCCGGGGAACAAAGGCGCGGACGCGUCCGCGUGUGAGUGUACCCGGAGAAAAAUGCAUCGGCUAACUCCGUGCCAGCAGCCGCGGUAAUACGGAGGAUGCGAGCGUUAUCCGGAUUUAUUGGGUUUAAAGGGUGCGUAGGCGGCCCGUUAAGUCAGCGGUAAAAGCCCGGGGCUCAACCCCGGCGGGCCGUUGAAACUGGGGGGCUAGAGACGGCGAGAAGUACGCGGAAUGCGCGGUGUAGCGGUGAAAUGCAUAGAUAUCGCGCAGAACUCCGAUUGCGAAGGCAGCGUACCGGCGCCGGACUGACGCUGAGGCACGAAAGCGUGGGUAUCGAACAGGAUUAGAUACC